rnacentral:ncRNA from 2 species
UAUUGAAAGUUUCUUCGAGUCUCUUGUUCCAAGAGGUUCUACCUAUGAACAAAAGACUGUUAGGGUAAAGUUGGAAGCAGCUUUGCCUCCCAGUUUGGAAAGAAGGGAACGUAGUUGAAAC